rnacentral:lncRNA from 1 species
GAAACAUGAUGAUUAGUCCGGUUUAUUAAAAUUUAACACAUCAAUUUCAAAACAUUUACUUAUAAAACUAUAUCAGAAAAAUCUUUUAGUGAAAAUCAAAAAAAUUUACAUAAAACAUUGUUUUUUUUUUUUGGUAAAUCGACGGGAGUUAGUGCCCUCCCUAUGUUUUAUUAAAAAAAUUAAAAUUAUACAUAAACGUUUCUCGGCCGCGGCGGACCAACAAUAUCCUCUCGCAAAAUCG